CAAGUAAGCCAGAUGAUCGCGGAGAUAAAACUCUGAGGAAAGUCCGGGCUCCAUAGGGCAAGGGUGCUGGUUAACGACCAGUGGAGGCAACUCUAAGGAUAGUGCAACAGAAAUAAACCGCCUGGCGUAAGUUAGGUAAGGAUGGAAAGGUGGUGUAAGAGACCACCGCUUCUUUGGUGACAAAGAGGGCUCUGUAAACCCCACCUGGAGCAAGAUGGUGAGUUGAGUUAAAACGGCCCGUUUCAACUCACGAUAGUAUCGCAUGAGUAUAUUGGUAACAGUAUGCCUAGAUAGAUGAUCAUCAAAUACAGAACUCGGCUUAUAGACUUGCUUGGAUU
rfam:Clostridiales bacterium GWD2_32_59 gwd2_scaffold_301, whole genome shotgun sequence.